UUAACUGGGGUAGUUUUUUUGUACAAUCUGAGGUUGUAGAAGGCAUGUUAAGUGGGGUUAGGUCCUUUAGAUAAGGAUAAUUUGAGUGAGUUACUUUAGGGAUAACAGCGUAAUAGUCCUAGGGAGAUCGUAUCUAUGGGGCUGAUUGCGACCUCGAUGUUGAAUUAAAAGCUCAGUGUAGAGCAGAAGCUACAGAGUGAGGGUUUGUUCAACCUUUAAAUUUUUACAUGAUCAGAGUUCAGACCGGA
rnacentral:rRNA from 1 species